UUUAUUCUAUUUAUUCUAUUUAUUCAACUAGUCCAUGUGCGAUCACUAAUACAUGUGUUUAUGUGUUCUACCGACAGCAUUGAAGAGUUGAAACAAGAAAAAAAGAGAACAGUUUAAAAUGAAUUGUCCAUACUCCACAGCUGUGGGGCACUGCCCUGAGCUCCCCUUUCAUCGGCAUAGAGACCCUUCCUCCCGUCUGUCCUGGACAGAGAGUUCCUGCCUGGCCUCCAUUAUGUCACAGAACCAAUCAGAACAGAGCUCUGACAUCCUCAGUCAGGAUGUGUUCAACCAGCUGCUGGAGAUGCUGGACCAGUCAGCGUUCCACUCGUCGCAGCCCAUAGAGUUGAACUUCUCAGACAGUCCAGCAGACGAAGAUGGACCAGCAGGGAACACCAUUCAGAUCAGCAUGGACUGUAUCACCAUGCAUGAGGGACAGGAACCACUGUCUUCCCAGUACACCAACCUGGGGCUGCUGAACAGCAUGGAUCAGAACAUCCAAAAUGGCGGCUCUACCUCCACCAGUCCCUACAACAACGACCAUGUCCAGAACAACGUGUCCGCUCCUUCACCCUACGCCCAGCCCAGCUCCACCUUCGACGCCAUGUCCCCCUCCCCGGCUAUCCCCUCCAACACAGACUACGCCGGGACACACACCUUUGACGUCUCCUUCCAGCAGUCCUCCACAGCCAAGUCUGCCACCUGGACGUACUCUACAGAGCUGAAGAAGCUGUACUGUCAGAUCGCCAAGACGUGUCCCAUCCAGAUCAAGGUGCUGACCAACCCCCCGCAGGGCGCCGUCAUCAGAGCCAUGCCCGUUUACAAGAAGGCAGAGCACGUCACCGAGGUGGUCAAACGCUGCCCCAACCACGAGCUCAGCCGCGAGUUCAACGACGGUCAGAUAGCCCCUCCCAGUCACCUGAUCCGAGUGGAGGGUAACAACCACUCCCAGUAUCUGGAGGACUCCAUCACGGGCCGUCAGAGUGUCUUGGUCCCAUACGAGCCACCUCAGGUGGGCACAGAGUUCACCACCAUCCUAUAUAACUUCAUGUGCAACUCCAGCUGUGUGGGAGGAAUGAACCGACGCCCCAUACUCAUCAUCGUCACCCUGGAAACCAGAGAAGGUCAGGUGCUGGGUCGGCGCUGCUUCGAGGCCAGGAUCUGUGCGUGUCCUGGCCGGGACCGCAAGGCGGACGAGGACAGCAUCCGCAAGCAGCACGUUACGGCCGGAACAAACUCCAGUGAGGGUAUGAAACGCCCCUUCCGCCAGGCCCCCCAUGGAAUCCAGAUGUCCUCCGUCAAGAAGAGAAGAUCCACCGAUGAGGAAGUGUUUUGUCUGCCUAUUAAAGGCCGUGAAAUCUAUGAGAUUUUGGUAAAAAUCAAAGAGUCUCUGGAACUCAUGCAGUUUCUGCCUCAGCACACUGUAGAGUCAUACAGGCAACAGCAGCAGAACCUUCUGCAGAAACAAUGGGAUCUCUGGGGGGAUGAGAGUAAUGGCCUGUACCCUCCUCUCUCCUGCCCCAGGAGCGCCAUGGCCCCCCAGCCCCAGUAUGGCUCCAGCUCCCCUCCUCACCCCCACGGCAAGGUCAACAAGCUCCCCUCCGUCAGCCAGCUAAUCAACCCCCAGCAGCGCAAUAUACUCACGCCUUCCUCCAUGCCACAAGGCCUGACUGACAUGACUCCGAUGAUGGGCCACAUGGCUAUGAACGCUGACAUGUCGACCCUGAGCCCCGCCCACAUCCUGCAGCCCCAGUUACCCAUGGUGCCCAGCUCCCACUGCACCCCCCCGCCUCCCUACCCCAUGGACAGCAGCAUCUCCAGCUUUCUUCUGCGGCUGGGCUGCGCAGCCUGCCUGGACUACUUCACAGCACAGGGCCUGACCAACAUCUACCAGAUCGAGAACUAUAACUUGGAGGACCUGUCCCGGCUGAAGAUCCCGCAGGAGUUCCAGCACGUCAUCUGGAAGGGCAUCAUGGAGCACCGGCAGAGCAUGGAGUUCUCCCCUCCUCCCCACAUCCUGCGUACCUCCAGCGGGGCCUCCGCCGUCAGCGUAGGGUCCUCCGAGGCCCGCGGCGAGCGGGUCAUCGACGCCGUGCGCUUCACCCUGCGCCAGACCAUCUCCUUCCCUCCGCGUGACGACUGGUCCGACUUCUCCUUCGACCUGGACUCCCGACGCAACAAGCAGCAGCGCAUCAAAGAGGAGGGUGAAUAGAGAGAGAGACACUCUGGCCGGAGUGUGUCUCUCGAGUUGUCGGGGGAAUUUUUUUUUAAAGCGCACUGCAACAAUAGGUCUGUAAAAGGCCAUUUUCUCUGACAUUCACAGAGAUCGCUUUUUUUUUUACAAACGCUGUAGAUGUCAGCUCAAGCAUAUAUUAGCUUUUAAAAAGUAGAGUGCAGUACUCUUCACAGCAGUGCACCUUGGAUUGAAGCCCCUGGCUCAGUCCCCCUUCAUAUGUCAUACACCUGUUGACCAACCCACUCUCCUAUCACAGUACAGGACUAGGACAUCUCUGCUUUAACGUUCUAAGCUCAGAUAAUCCUAAAUAGCAAAAAUACUAUGCAAAUAAAAAUGCACUUAUUUUUUUAAAUUUUUUUUAAAGCCUUCAUGCCAGCUAGAUAAGAGAAAACAGCUAUAUUCUUUAUUUUUUAAAAUCAAAUUUCUUGAGACAAAGCACUUAAGAAAUGCUUUUGUGAUUUGGUUUGAUAUUGUUUUAUAGUGUUCAUUAUCCAUUCCAAUGUUAAAGCAUGAGAGGAAGUUUCCUCUUUGAGAGGAAACUUUUAGGGGUUUUGUUUGUCCUUGGUUGAGAUUGAAUCCAAGGCGCGUUAUAGAGCAGGACACUAGACAGCCAAGAUUUUUCCUGACGUUAAGACAUGUAUUUAUGUCCGUUUUUCUGUCUUGCUGUUUGUUGACUCACUUGGGUAAACCAAGAAGAACCUCACAUUAAAACAGGCGAGUGGCGGCAUCUAGUGGCCACACUGGUACUGCACCAAUCACUGCUAAAUACAAUGUAAAAAUGGAGUCCUAUAUUAACGUCUGCUCAAACGUAAAUUACGGUCAUCACUAGUUACCAUAGCCAACAAAUCAUAAUUAUGGUGAACCCUUUGCCUAUUUCUAGCAUUUAUCUUCUAAAAAUCUGAUUUUAAACCUAAACCCACUGCCGACAUUAUGCCUAAUCUUAAGACUUCAUGAAUUUUACGAUAUAGCCAUUUUUACUUUGUGGCUGUGGUAACCAGUGACAACUUUAAAGAACCUAUAAAAGUCCAAGUGUAUUAUGCUGCUCAAUACUGUUAUGGUUACCUGUUAUUUUUUAGUUCACAACACUGUUUUGACCUGAUUGUAUACACUUCCAAGAUACAUAUUUUUUGACUUCCUGUCAGGGAGAAGUGUUAAUAACAUGCUGGAACUGGUUUUCUACUGUGCCUGUGUUAAACCCUCGUCGCUCCGAGAUGCCCAGGAAACCUAGUGUUAGCCGUCGUGUUUAUAAGUACCUAAUGUAUUUCUACGUGCACGACAAAAUAAUGCAUUAUCACAAACCGUUGGUACCUGAAGUAUUUACGUUUAUCAUUACCGAGUAACUGAAACUAACAAGAAACUCGAUAUGCUCAUAGCCCUUGAUGUUGUGAUGGUUACCAAUAAACGUGACCCGAUUGUGAUGGUGUUCACCUUUCCCAUUGUCGUGUCUCAAAGUGCACCCUACGCACUACUCGACCAGGGGGCCCUGGUCAGGGGUAGUGCACUAUAUAGGGAAUAGGGUGCCAGCCCUGAUCAGAGGUAGUGCACUAUAUAGGGAAUAGGGUGCUAGCCCUGAUCAGAGGUAGUGCACUAUAUAGGGAAUAGGGUGCUAGCCCUGAUCAGAGGUAGUGCACUAUAUAUAGGGAAUAGGGUGCUAGCCCUGGUCAGAGGUAGUGCACUAUAUAGGGAAUAGGGUGCUAGCCCUGAUCAGAGGUAGUGCACUAUAUAUAGGGAAUAGGGUGCUAGCCCUGGUCAGAGGUAGUGCACUAUAUAGGGAAUAGGGUGCUAGCCCUGAUCAGAGGUAGUGCACUAUAUAUAGGGAAUAGGGUGCUAGCCCUGAUCAGAGGUAGUGCACUAUAUAGGGAAUAGGGUGCUAGCCCUGAUCAGAGGUAGUGCACUAUAUAUAGGGAAUAGGGUGCUAGCCCUGAUCAGAGGUAGUGCACUAUAUAUAGGGAAUAGGGUGCUAGCCCUGAUCAGAGGUAGUGCACUAUAUAGGGAAUAGGGCAACAUUUGGAACACAUUAAUUGCCUGCUUGUUCUGCCACCUAUGUACUGUCUAUGGAUCGUGUGUGUGUGUGUGGGGGGGGGGUCUGUUGAGAACAUUUCUGGUCUAUAUUUCUCUAUUGUAAAUGAUGUUAGUUGUACAAUUGAUGGAUUGUUGUUUUUUGGAACCACAGUGUCUAAAACUUUUUCUAUUUGUUGAACUUGAUAGAUGGCCAAACCUAUUGGGAUUAUUGUAUACACACACACACACACACACACACACACACACACACACACACACACACACAGUUAUUUUCUAAAAGCUACAUGAUAAGUAUUUUCCCAAAAAGGUAAAUAUUUGACAAAAAAAAAUAAAAGAAAAAGGAAUUUAAGAAUAGUUUGUGGUUAAAAGCCAGAACGGAACAGUUAAAAGGAGUUUAUUUUGUAUUCAUUAAAAUGAAUAAAUCUGGUCUUCUCACAAGUCAUUGUUGUCGUUGUGCGAAUACACACGGUCAGAGGAAUGUUGCCAUAAAACUGGACAUCAUCGAUAUGUUAGAGAAACAUGACCCUGGUAUGUUGUUGUUGUUGUUGUUGUUGUCGUCGGGAACAUCGAAAGCAGAAAACCAGUACCGUCUAAUCUAUUGUUCCUUAUUUUUCUACAAUGUAUUGUAAAUAUAUUGCAAUGUACUUAUUUUGAUAUAAACCAAAAAAUAAAAUACCGCCUAGUUACCAAA